AUGGUGCAACAGAAUGCAGAUAAAAUAUUGGAGAAGAGUACCCCGUUAUGCAAUGGUAAAGGAAGUAAUGCAGAUAAGGUUCAAGAUAGUGAGACAUCCCUAUUGUUCUCCAAGAAAGCUGAUAAAAACUAUAUUGAAGACACUGAGACAACCCCAAAGUCAUGUCUUGAUGUAGUGUUCAAGUUACUGGCUACUACUGCUGGCACCAGCUCCUCGAACUCGCUGACUGAAUCAGUUCGUCUUCUUGAGUCUCAACUUCAAGUUGAAAGACAUCGAUCAGAUGUUCUGCAACAGGAAGCUGAAGGACUGAGGAAGUCCCUGCAGAAUUCAGAUGCAUUUUCUGGUGCAUCAGCAAGCGCUCGAGGAUUUAAGCGCCAAACAAGAGAAAUUUAA
rnacentral:rRNA from 1 species